CAGUCGCCACGGUAAUACAGAGGAUGCAAGCGUUAUUCGGAAUGAUUGGGCGUAAAGCGCGCGUAGGCGGUUUUUUAAGUCUGAUGUGAAAGCCCACGGCUCAACCGUGGAGGGUCAUUGGAAACUGGAAAACUUGAGUGCAGAAGAGGAAAGUGGAAUUCCAUGUGUAGCGGUGAAAUGCGCAGAGAUAUGGAGGAACACCAGUGGCGAAGGCGACUUUCUGGUCUGUAACUGACGCUGAUGUGCGAAAGCGUGGGGAUCAAACAGGAUUAGAUACCCCGGUAGUCCCUGUCUCUUAUAC
rnacentral:rRNA from 1 species